UAGGUGGGGAAACUGAGGCAAAGGGUGUUUAAAUGGUCUGCCCAAAGUCACACAGCUAAGAAGCAGUGAUGGGAUAUGAAGUCAAACAGUCUUAAAAGCAAGCUAUCCUGUUGCAAAAUAGAAAUUAGUUGAUAACGUCUUCCAGGAGACCUACGGCCAUCCUACUGAUAUGAACCAGAUCAUACCUGCCCUGAUGGGAUGCCAGAGAAAGACUGCUGCAAGGGAUCCUCUGGAAACAGAACAGAGGGAAGAAGAUACCUUCCCUGAAGCCCAGAUGUUCCAGAAGCCUGCGCCUCAUUCACAAAGUCACCCCAAAAAUGCCCUAGAGUUUGGAGUUUUGAAGAAGCGGGAAGAAGGCCUGAGUAAGGGCCUGGGAACCAAGUUAGAUCCUACUUCAGCAUCAGCACAUGCCAGCGAUGGUGCACACAGGUAUAAAACAGCAUGAAGAAAA
rnacentral:lncRNA from 1 species